rnacentral:rRNA from 1 species
GAUGAACGCUGGCGGCGUGCUUAACACAUGCAAGUCGAACGAGAACGGAUUAUAGCUUGCUAUAAUUGUCAGCUAAGUGGCGCACGGGUGAGUAGUGUAUAGGUAAUAUGCCUCUUACUAAGGGAUAACAAAUGGAAACGUUUGCUAAUACCUUAUACUCCUUAUUAACAUAAGUUAAUAAGGGAAAGAUUUAUUGGUAAGAGAUUAGCCUGUAUUGUAUCAGUUAGUUGGUGGGGUAAUGGCUUACCAAGACUAUGACACAUAACUGGUUUGAGAGGAUGAGCAGUCACACUGGAACUGAGACACGGUCCAGACUCCUACGGGAGGCAGCAGUGGGGAAUAUUGCACAAUGGACGAAAGUCUGAUGCAGCAACGCCGCGUGGAGGAUGACACAUUUCGGUGCGUAAACUCCUUUUAUAUGAGAAGAUAAUGACGGUAUUAUAUGAAUAAGCACCGGCUAACUCCGUGCCAGCAGCCGCCGUAA